rnacentral:lncRNA from 1 species
ACAACCUCGCCUCCAUUAGGGCCUCUGGUAAGGACCUUCCCUUCAAUUUUGGCCGCGGCUUUGUCCUAUGCCCCGUCACUUGGCGCAUCGUUUCUUCUCCAAUAGUAUACUUCGCCGACUUUCUCGCCCAUUUGUAUUUGCCAUUAUCUUCUUUCUAUUGUUUCUCUCUACUCUCCAUAAACAAAUUGUUGACUCCAUUUCUCCCCUUUUAUAUUUUAUUUCCAUAAGAAUGAAACAGUUAUAGGAGAUUUGCUAGCGAACUCUGUUAAUUUGUUUUUCCAAUUUCAUUUCCCAUGAACGAAUUUAAAAUGAUUUUUUAAAUUUUGUCGGUCUUAAUAUUUUUUUUCGAAUGGGAUUUUUAGAUGAUCGGUCUACACAUCGGUAUUGGUUAGUCUGAUUCCUAGUAUUAAUUUCAUGGGGUCAAAUUUGCCAGUUUUGUUAUUGUUUUUCUUAUGUUGUGAUUGUCAUUGGUGUCUUUCCAUCAUUAUUUUUUGUGUUUUCGUUAAAGCUAUUUUUCUUCUCUGAUGCUCCCAUUUUAUUGAAUAUUAUUAUAUUUUAUUAAAGCAAUUCGGCUACAAGAAGGACGUUCGCCCGGAGGCCGACGCGGCUUAGUGUGCGGCUACGGUGGUGGUGGUUUCUUAUUUGGCUUCCGCAGUGGUGGAUGCUCCUCCUCCGUCGGUGGCUCCUUCGCUGGCGGCUGUUCCUCGUCCAACAAUCUCUGACGAAUUCCACCUUCCAACAGUCUUUACUGUGGUUUAAUUACCCUAUUUAUUUCGUGGUCGAAAGUGUCCAGGUACUGGUUUCAAUAAAAUGAUUAGUCAUCAAGCAGGAGCAAUAGAGAAGGGAAGGAAAUCAUGAAUAUGAGUGCGUAUAAAUCAGGCAUCAGCCUUUCGUUUUCUUAAUUGCAUAAUUAGCUGAAUGAUUUUACAAGUGACUCUAAUUAGUUUCACAUUAUAUGUGCCAGUUGUGGUGCAGGAAU